GGGGAUAUAGCUCAGUGGUACAGCACAUGCUUAAUAUGCCCAAGGUCUUAGGUUCAAUCCCCAGUAGCUCCA
rnacentral:tRNA from 1 species